UGGCCUUUUCCCCUUGGGGGAUCUUUCCAUCACACUCGCCCUCUUUGGACUUUGGGAAGUGAAAACCCAGCCCCCACUGGUGCGCAGCCACACUGGAGCCCCGAGGAGUGUUAAAAUUCAGCUGGAGAGGCACGUAGUCUUCCAGAAGCCCAGAUAAAGGAAAAGGAUCUCAGGCAAAAGAGGAAAAAAUAAAAUAAAGAGGCAAGACUUAAAAUGUCCUGUGAAAUGGAGAGCAUUUGGCCCCCGGCACACGUUGUCUGCGGGAGAUGACUCAACUCCUUUCUAAAGCGAGGAACCAAAUUGUGAAGACAUCUGUUCUGUUAUUAAUUUCACAUAAAUCUUAAGCUCCUCAA